rnacentral:rRNA from 1 species
GACGCUGAGGUACGAAAGCAUGGGGAGCAAACAGGAUUAGAUACCCUGGUAGUCCAUGCCGUAAACGAUGUCUACUAGCCGUUGGGGCCCUUGAGGCUUUAGUGGCGCAGCUAACGCGAUAAGUAGACCGCCUGGGGGAGUACGGUCGCAAGACUAAAACUCAAAUGAAUUGACGGGGGCCCGCACAAGCGGUGGAGCAUGUGGUUUAAUUCGAUGCAACGCGAAGAACCUUACCUGGCCUUGACAUACAGAGAACUUUCCAGAGAUGGAUUGGUGCCUUCGGGAACUCUGAUACAGGUGCUGCAUGGCUGUCGUCAGCUCGUGUCGUGAGAUGUUGGGUUAAGUCCCGCAACGAGCGCAACCCUUUUCCUUAUUUGCCAGCACUUCGGGUGGGAACUUUAAGGAUACUGCCAGUGACAAACUGGAGGAAGGCGGGGACGACGUCAAGUCAUCAUGGCCCUUACGGCCAGGGCUACACACGUGCUACAAUGGUCGGUACAAAGGGUUGCUACACAGCGAUGUGAUGCUAAUCUCAAAAAGCC